rnacentral:lncRNA from 1 species
CGCUUGCAGUGCUCAAGAUGCCGUUUGAUGCUGAGAAAGUAGUGGUCUAGCAACCCCAGGCGGCUCUAGGAUGCUACAAUAACAACGCAACACUCGAUUAGGAGUCCAGGUUCUCGGGUUGUAAGACACUGUCCUACCCGUGGACCUCACAUUCAAAGCUCACGUCCCUUCAGGUUCAAUCUUACUAAGCUUUCCGCGACGAAUCCUCUCAAAGUUUCUAGUUGAAAAAACGGAAUUACUUUGAAAGUCCCCUCAUCUGGACUCCCCUCCCCGGACGGGUUGGAGGCAAGCGGGAAUAGGAACAGAGGAUGGUUAAUUGUUCAAACAACAUUUAAAAACCUGUAAACCAAUCAUCGUUUUAGAGGAAAGAAAGAAGCUUUCACCAAGCCGACGCUGGGCAAGCGAGCAUCCGAUUUCCAUUCAGAGAGAAAAAUAUUAAAGAAGCCAGACAUACGUUUCCCUUCCCAACAAAAGUGGCCUCUAAACUCCCCGGCCAAGGACACUGGGAGGAAACAGAGAGGCUGGGAACUACCUCGUUGUCUUGGUCAAGGCGCGGGUCUGCGGCGGAGAGAACGCGCAAAGGGGGAGACAGCAGGCAAAAGGUGAACCGCAGGAAGCCGGAGCCCGCGGCGGCGGCGGGGCUGGAGGUGAUCGGGCGAGGAAACCCGAGGACUGAGGGUCUGAAUUGCUUUUCAUCUGGAGUGGCAUGAUUCAGCGACCCCCUUCUCAGCAGCAGGCAAUGACAGAGACAGGAGACGAAAAACACAGCGAAUGAAUCAGACCUUACAACUGAGAAAACAGAAAUCUGGCUAUGUCAUCCAAAUCAUUCCACUGGACCUUGCUGCCUCUCAGAAUUCAGUAACACAGCUCCUCUCUGAAGAGACUAACAAUAGUGCAUUCAUCAGAAGAGCUCCAGUUGGAGCCCAGGAAGAGACAACAGAAGGCUGGGACCAGGCGGGCUGGCUAGAGAGUCACUGGAAAACCAAACCAAAUGGAGAAGAAGGACCACAUUUUCAGAGUUUUAAUAUCAUCUUUGGAUUCUAAUUGGAUCUACUUUGCUUACAAUUCUAAUCAUUUGGGUCAGUCAUUUUCAUUUUGAGCUGAGAUAGAUAAUUGUAUUGUGAAGUAUAUUGUAGUAAUUGAUAUUGUGUAAUUGUAAUUGUGAAGAUAGUAAUUGUAUUGUGAAGCUUCUCUGUACUCAUCUGUAAAAUGGAAAUAAAGCUGAUCACAUAGAAUAAAGGUCA